rnacentral:rRNA from 1 species
CCUACGGGCGGCUGCAGUGAGGAAUAUUGGUCAAUGGACGCAAGUCUGAACCAGCCAUGCCGCGUGCAGGAAGACGGCUCUAUGAGUUGUAAACUGCUUUUGUACGAGGGUAAACGCAGAUACGCGUAUCUGUCUGAAAGUAUCGUACGAAUAAGGAUCGGCUAACUCCGUGCCAGCAGCCGCGGUAAUACGGAGGAUUCAAGCGUUAUCCGGAUUUAUUGGGUUGAAAGGGUGCGUAGGCGGUCGGAUAAGUUAGAGGGGAAAUCCCGAGGUUCAACGUCGGAAUUGCCUCUGAUACUGUUCGGCUAGAGAGUAGUUGCGGUAGGCGGAAUGUAUGGUGUAGCGGUGAAAUGCUUAGAGAUCAUACAGAACACCGAUUGCGAAGGCAGCUUACCAAGCUACUUCUGACGUUGAGGCACGAAAGCGUGGGGAGCAAACAGGAUUAGAUACCCUAGUAGUC